GCUCUGGUUGUGCAGUGGUUAAGGCAUUUGGCUGCUAACCAAAAGGUCAGUGGUUCAAACCCACUCCAGUGCU